GGGUCAUCGAUGAAAUCUUUGUAUUUUCUCAAGAGUGAUGUUGACUUAAACGUCUUGCACAAUAGGGUUACACUGAGGACA
rnacentral:snoRNA from 1 species